GGUUUUAUAGUGUAGCGGUUAUCACUCCGGAUUCUGACUCGUUUGAUACAGUCUCCUUCCGGCAACCCCGGUUCGAUUCCGGGUAAGACCU